rnacentral:ncRNA from 1 species
GGUUAAGUGAAUAAGGGCGCACGGUGGAUGCCUUGGCACUAGGAGCCGAUGAAGGACGGGACUAACACCGAUAUGCUUCGGGGAGCUGUAAGUAAGCUUUGAUCCGGAGAUUUCCGAAUGGGGAAACCCAACAUCUUUUAUAGGAUGUUACUUUUCAGUGAAUACAUAGCUGAUUAGAGGUAGACGCAGAGAACUGAAACAUCUAAGUACCUGCAGGAAGAGAAAGAAAAAUCGAUUCCCUGAGUAGCGGCGAGCGAAACGGGAAAAGCCCAAACCAAGAGGCUUGCCUCUUGGGGUUGUAGGACUCCGAUAUGGUAGUCCAGUGAGAUAGUCGAAGGACCUGGAAAGGUCUGCUAGAAAGGGUAAAAGCCCCGUAGACAAAAUUUGACUGGCACCUAGGAGGAUCCUGAGUACGGCGGAACACGAGGAAUUCCGUCGGAAUCCGGGAGGACCAUCUCCCAAGGCUAAAUACUCCCUAGUGACCGAUAGUGAACCAGUACCGUGAGGGAAAGGUGAAAAGCACCCCGGAAGGGGAGUGAAAUAGAUCCUGAAACCGUGUGCCUACAACAAGUUAGAGCCCGUUAAUGGGUGAUAGCGUGCCUUUUGUAGAAUGAACCGGCGAGUUACGAUUACUUGCGAGGUUAAGUUGAAAAGACGGAGCCGCAGCGAAAGCAAGUCUGAAUAGGGCGAAUGAGUAAGUGGUCGUAGACCCGAAACCAUGUGAUCUACCCAUGUCCAGGUUGAAGGUGCGGUAAAACGCACUGGAGGACCGAACCCACGUACGUUGAAAAGUGCGGGGAUGAGGUGUGGGUAGCGGAGAAAUUCCAAACGAACUUGGAGAUAGCUGGUUCUCUCCGAAAUAGCUUUAGGGCUAGCCUCAGAGUAAGAAUGAUGGAGGUAGAGCACUGUUUGGACUAGGGGCCCAUCUCGGGUUACCGAAUUCAGAUAAACUCCGAAUGCCAUCCAUUCAUCUCUGGGAGUCAGACUGUGAGUGAUAAGAUCCAUAGUCGAAAGGGAAACAGCCCAGACCACCAGCUAAGGUCCCCAAAUAACUAUUAAGUGGAAAAGGAUGUGGGGUUGCACAGACAACUAGGAUGUUGGCUUAGAAGCAGCCACCAUUUAAAGAGUGCGUAAUAGCUCACUAGUCGAGUGACCCUGCGCCGAAAAUGUACCGGGGCUAAAUAGUUUACCGAAGCUGUGGAACACACCA